AUUGAACGCUGGCGGCAUGCUUUACACAUGCAAGUCGAACGGCAGCGCGGGCUUUGGCCUGGCGGCGAGUGUCGAACGGGUGAGUAAUACAUCGGAACGUGCCCAGUAGUGGGGGAUAGCUCGGCGAAAGCCGGAUUAAUACCGCAUACGACCUGAGGGUGAAAGCGGGGGAUCUUCGGACCUCGCGCUAUUGGAGCGGCCGAUGGCAGAUUAGCUAGUUGGUGGGGUAAAGGCCUACCAAGGCGACGAUCUGUAGCUGGUCUGAGAGGACGACCAGCCACACUGGGACUGAGACACGGCCCAGACUCCUACGGGAGGCAGCAGUGGGGAAUUUUGGACAAUGGGCGAAAGCCUGAUCCAGCAAUGCCGCGUGUGUGAUGAAGGCCUUCGGGUUGUAAAGCACUUUUGGCGGGAACGAAAAGGACUGUGCCAAUACCACGGUUCGAUGACGGUACCCGCAGAAUAAGCACCGGCUAACUACGUG
rnacentral:rRNA from 1 species